CCUANGGGUGGCAGCAGUGGGGAAUUUUGGACAAUGGGGGCAACCCUGAUCCAGCCAUGCCGCGUGAGUGAAGAAGGCCUUCGGGUUGUAAAGCUCUUUCGGCCGGAACGAAAUCGCGUACGUGAAUAACGUGCGUGGAUGACGGUACUGGAAGAAGAAGCACCGGCUAACUACGUGCCAGCAGCCGCGGUAAUACGUAGGGUGCGAGCGUUAAUCGGAUUUACUGGGCGUAAAGAGCGCGUAGGUGGUUCGAUGAGUCGGAGGUGAAAUCCCUCGGCUUAACCGAGGACCCGCGUCCGAUACUGUCGAACUUGAGUGCAGGAGAGGAGAGCGGAAUUCCCAAUGUAGCGGUGAAAUGCGUAGAUAUUGGGAGGAACACCGGUGGCGAAGGCGGCUCUCUGGACUGCCACUGACACUGAGGCGCGAAAGCUAGGGGAGCAAACGGGAUUAGAUACCCCANUANUC
rnacentral:rRNA from 1 species